UCUUGGCAACCGCAGGAGUAUUCUUGUGCUCCAUGGCAAGAGGCUCACUAGUCAGUCAGUGCUAUAUUUAUCUUGUAGCUGAACACACACAUUUGCAAGAGGUUGUUCAAUAAGGGAAAGGCAACCAGCCAAGGCACGGUUCAAACCUUGGAAGUUUGUCCCAGCAUCAUCCAGCAGACUGCAGAGAGGGAAUUCUUCGAUGGCCUGGAAGAGUUAAACCCCUGGCUUGGAACAAAGGAUUCGCUGAUUUGUCUCCUGGCUUUGUGAGAGACGGAGGAAGAGUUUGUAAGAUGGAGUUGAACAAGUUUCUGGGUGCACCAGGCGGGCAACGGAGGAGGCAAGAGGAAGCCUGUGCCGCCGGUGCAGGCAGCCGAGAUGCUGAAGCCAGCGAUGAUCUGGAUUAUGUACAAAUGUAUCUCACCUGUUUACCUGAGAGAUACAUGAAGGCAAAGUUUACUUUGACAGCCUAUCUGGCUUGUUGGCUAAUCUUGAAACUCUGCAAGAGAGCCUGGGAGAGAAGAGGCUCAACUUUCCACAAGGUAAGUUUUCAUAUCAAAAUGUCACCUUUAAUGUGUUACUAACAAAAAAAAAAAAAAAAAAAAAAGAAGCUUCGUUUAAAAAUAUCUAUGGAAAUCUACUUUUUAAAAAGCGGUUCCCUUGUGCUGCUCAACAAGAAACUGAGAAUACUUUUUUAAAAAUGUACUUAUUGCUUAAACUUAAAUGAAUAGAGUAUUCAGUCUAAACCAGUAGUUCUCAACCAUCCUAAUGCUGCAACCCCUCAAUACAAUUCAUCUUGUUGUGGUGACCCCUAACCAUAAAAUUAUUUUUGUUGCUACUUCAUAACUGUCACUUUGCUCCUGUUAUGAAUUGUAAUGUAAAUAUCUGAUAUGUUGGAUGUAUUUUCAUUCACUGGACCAAAUUUGGCAGAAAUACUCAAUACGCUCAAAUUUGAAUACUGGUGGGGUUGGGAAGGGAUUGAUUUUGUCAUUUGGGAGUUGUAGUUGCUGGGAUUUAUAGUUCACCUAUAAUCAAAGAGCAUUUUGAACUCCACCAGUGAUGAAAUUGAACCACACUUGCCACACAGAACUCCCAUGACCAAGGGUUUGGUGGGCAUUGACCCUGAGUUUUGGAGUUGUAGUUCACCUACAUCCAGAGAGCACUGUGGGCUCAAACAAUGAUGGAUUUGGACCAAACUUGGCAUGAAUAUAAAUAUGCCCAAAUGUGAACACUGGUGGAGCUUGGGGAAAAUAGACCUUGACAUUUGGGAAUGGUAGUUGCUGGGAUUUAUAGUUUACCUACAAUCAAAGAGCCCCUUGGACCCCACCAACGAUAGAAUUGGGCCAAACUUCCCACACAGAACCCCCAUUACCAACAGAAAGUACUGGAGGGUAUUUGGGAGGAAUUGUCUGUGAUUUAGGGGAGAUAUAGUUCACUUACCUCCGGAGAGCAUUGUGAAUUUAUAUUUGUUUUCUGAAGGUCUUUGGCAACCCCUCUGACACCCCCUCAUGACCCCCUCCAGGGGUCCCGACCCCCAGGUUGAGAAACACUGGUCUAAACAGUUACAGAAUUGCAAUGGCAAUGACAUUAUUAGCAACCACAGCAAACACUGAAUCUAGGUUACAAUGAAAAAGCCACUGGUGGUGGAAAAGCAAAGCUCAACUGCAUUCCUAGAGUGCAUUUACACUGUAGAAUUAAUACUGUUUGACUGUUUGACAACAAUUUGGCUCAUUGCCAUGGGAUGGGUAGUUUGAUGAGACACCAGCACUCUUUGGCAGAGAAGGAUGAAGACUUUAUAAAACUACAAUUCCAGUGAUUCAAUAGCAUUGAGCCAUGGCAGUCGAAGUGGUGUCUAAAUUGCAUUUAUUCUAAGUGUAGAUGCACCCCUAUAUACCUCUGGUUGCGAGUAAACCCCAUUGAAUUAAUAGAAUUUAUGUUUGAGGAGACGUGAAUAGGAUUGGACUGUUAAUAUGUAAUCUAUUAUUUGAACUCAAGGACAUCUGCAUGCCCAUAAUAGACACUGAUUACACUUGUUCAUUCCGUUACAUUUCUAAUGAGGUUUGAUGAUGUGGCAAAUGCAGUGAUAAUAAAAUAUAUGAAAAUGCUCAUAUUAUCAAAUGAUGUUUUGAUUGCUCUUGCAGCCAAGCGUUUUUGCCGUCUUUCUAUUCAUGCAUCACAUGGCUCCAAAAUGUCCCUCUCCAAUUAAAAACACAAACAAACUAUUUGGAGUUUACAUCCUUUCCCUUCUUUGUCUUUGCACAAAGCGGCUGGCAAGAGCCCUGACCGCCUGAGAGCAGGAUCUUGCCAGAGCUGACUAAUCAAUAUUCAAGAGAGUGAGUUGCUCAUUAUGCAGCCAUUGAUUAUCUCUCAAAGUUGCUCGCUGUGCAUUUCUCAUUCUUCCCUCUUUUCUUCCCUUGCCACAUGCAUAACUGCGCAUGUACACACACAAACAUACCUCCCACAAGGCCUCCCUUUUGUGCCUCGCAGGAAAAACAAAACCUGGAGCAAAACCCCAUGGGGACACCCACCCAUCGAGGUCAGGGAAUGGCAUGCAUUCCAAUGGGAAAGGAGGGGUGUAAGGAAAACUCUUUCUUAAUUCAAAAUAUGCCUCGCUUUCAAUGCUAGAAACAGAAGAAUGAAAGGAGAGGAAAAGUCCCACCAAAUUCCAUUUGGUAACAGCCUACUGUGUAAUUCUGCUCUGCGAAAAGAAUGAAAUACAAUACAAUGUGGGAUAUACCUUAUCUGUUGUUGACCACAACAAUUUGAAAUGCCACGGAACUUGGAUGAAACCAAGAUUUUUCUGGUGUUCUUUGAGCUGCAUCUUUGACAUCUCUUUUAAAUUUCCAUUGAACCUUAGGAUGCACCUACACUGCAGAAUGAAUACAGUUUGACACCACUUUAACUGCCUUGGCUCAAUGUUAUGGAAUCCUGGGAGUUGUAAUUUGGUGUGGCAUCAGCACUUUUUGGCGGAGAAGGCUAAAGACCUUGUAAAAUGACAACUGCCAUAAUUCCAUAGCAUUGAACCAUGGCUGUUCAAGUGGUGUCAAACUGCAUUAAUUCUAUAGUGUAGAU
rnacentral:lncRNA from 1 species